rnacentral:rRNA from 1 species
GACGAACCGUGCGAACGUUGUUCGGAAUCACUGGGCUUAAAGGGCGCGUAGGCGGCAGAUCAAGUCCGGGGUGAAAUCCUCCAGCUCAACUGGAGAAGUGCCUUGGAUACUGAAUUGCUCGAGGGAGGUAGGGGUCGAGGGAACUUCUGGUGGAGCGGUGAAAUGCGUUGAUAUCAGAAGGAACGCCGGUGGCGAAAGCGCUCGACUGGAUCUCUUCUGACGCUGAGGCGCGAAAGCUAGGGGAGCAAACGGG